AGAGCGAACGCUGGCGGCAGGCCUAACACAUGCAAGUCGAGCGGCCGUAGUAAUACGGCAGCGGCAGACGGGAGAGUAACACGUGGGAACGCGCCCUUCGGUUCGGAAUAACUCAGGGAAACUUGAGCUAAUACCGAAUACGCCCUUACGGGGAAAGAUUUAUUGCCGAAGGAACGGCCCGCGUCCGAUUAGCUAGUUGGUGAGGUAAUGGCUCACCAAGGCGACGAUCGGUAGCUGGUCUGAGAGGAUGACCAGCCUCACUGGGACUGAGACACGGCCCAGACUCCUACGGGAGGCAGCAGUGGGGAAUAUUGGACAAUGGGCGCAAGCCUGAUCCAGCCAUGCCGCGUGGAUGAUGAAGGCCUUAGGGUUGUAAAGUCCUUUUAACGGGGAGAUAAUGACGGUACCGUAGAAUAAGCCCCGGCUAACUUCGUGCCAGCAGCCGC
rnacentral:rRNA from 1 species